AUGCUCGCUUCAGCAGCACAUACACUAAAAUUGGAAUGAUACAGAGAUUAGCCUUCCCCUGCACAAGGAUGACACACAAAUCUGUGAAGCAUUCCAUAUAUUU
rnacentral:snRNA from 1 species